GGCCUUCAAUAUCGGCUGUGGACGACCUAUAUUCCCUGUGCCGGCGGCCGCAAGGCCGCUCGGCUAUGGCGAUAAACGUCUCGCGCAAUAACCACUGCGGACCCGGGGGCGGUACCCGGCGCCUCCACCAAUGGGGGCGAAAUAGGAUCGACGCGUGGGUAAAGGUGGGUACUUUCGCCCGGCAUGGUUCCGCCGUUAUCGGGCCGUUUUACAACUGCCAAUGACAACUCGAAGUUGGCACUCGCUGCCUAACACUAGGUAAGCGCGGCCCGGGGGGCGCCGGGCAACAGAAGCCCCCCACC
rnacentral:tmRNA from 1 species